UACGAAGGGGGCUAGCGUUGCUCGGAAUUACUGGGCGUAAAGCGCACGUAGGCGGCUUUCUAAGUCGGGGGUGAAAUCCUGGAGCUCAACUCCAGAACUGCCUUCGAUACUGGAGAGCUUGAGUCCGGGAGAGGUGAGUGGAACUGCGAGUGUAGAGGUGAAAUUCGUAGAAUAUUCGCAAGAACACCAGUGGCGAAGGCGGCUCACUGGCCCGGUACUGACGCUGAGGUGCGAAAGCGUGGGGAGCAAACAGG
rnacentral:rRNA from 1 species